UAUUAGUUAUGUUCUUGAAAUUUAAAAAUUUUGGCGGUGUUUUAGUCUAUUCAGAGGAACCUGUUCUGUGAUCGAUAGUCCACGAUAAAAUUUACUUGAUUUAGAAAAUUUGUAUAUCGUCGUUGUAAAAUAUUUUAUAAGAAUUUAAAUAUUUAAUAUUUUUUUUAAGAAAAAAUUACAGAUCAAGGUGCAGUUUAUGAUUAAGAAGAAAUGGGUUACAAUAAAUUUAUUUAUAUGGAUUAUAAUAUGAAAUAUUUAAUGAAGGUGGAUUUGAUAGUAAUAAAAUUUAUAUAAAUUUUAUGAUUAAGGCUCUAAAAUGUGU
rnacentral:rRNA from 1 species